rnacentral:tRNA from 1 species
UGGGGUAUCGCCUAGUUGGCCUAAGGCACGUGGUUUUGAUCCAUGUAUCGCAGGUUCGAAUCCUGCUACCCUAGCCA